rnacentral:rRNA from 1 species
UAAUCUUGCGACCGUACUCCCCAGGCGGUCAACUUCACGCGUUAGCUUCGUUACCAAGGAAUUGCUUCCCCGACAACUAGUUGACAUAGUUUAGGGCGUGGACUACCAGGGUAUCUAAUCCUGUUUGCUCCCCACGCUUUCGUGCCUGAGCGUCAGUGUCGGCCCAGGGGGCUGCCUUCGCCAUCGGUGUUCCUCCACAUAUCUACGCAUUUCACUGCUACACGUGGAAUUCCACCCCCCUCUGCCGCACUCUAGCUCCGUAGUUUCAAACGCAGUUCCCAGGUUAAGCCCGGGGAUUUCACAUCUGACUUACGAAACCGCCUGCGCACGCUUUACGCCCAGUAAUUCCGAUUAACGCUCGCACCCUACGUAUUACCGCGGCUGCUGGCACGUAGUUAGCCGGUGCUUCUUCUUCCAGUACCGUCAUCCACGCACGUUAUUCACGUACGCGAUUUCGUUCCGGCCGAAAGAGCUUUACAACCCGAAGGCCUUCUUCACUCACGCGGCAUGGCCGGAUCAGGCUUUCGCCCAUUGUCCAAAAUUCCCCA